rnacentral:rRNA from 1 species
UACGUAGGGUGCAAGCGUUGUCCGGAAUUAUUGGGCGUAAAGAGCUCGUAGGCGGUCUGUCGCGUCGGCUGUGAAAACUCGGGGGCUCAACCCCCGAGCCUGCAGUCGAUACGGGCAGACUAGAGUGCUGUAGGGGAGACUGGAAUUCCUGGUGUAGCGGUGAAAUGCGCAGAUAUCAGGAGGAACACCGGUGGCGAAGGCGGGUCUCUGGGCAGUAACUGACGCUGAGGAGCGAAAGCGUGGGGAGCGAACAGGA